rnacentral:lncRNA from 1 species
GCCCAACGCUGACCCAGGCUCCCCUUACUCUCAAGCUUGGAAACCCUUAGGGGUUCUCUCAGAUCCCUCCUCAUUUCUCACUCACUCAUUUCUCCGAUUCCAUCUCACUCCCUCGAACCAAAGCAUGCCGCCACCACCCGACCGGCCACAACUCUCGUCUGGGCAGUUUGAGGCGUCUCCAGCGACUCCAAGCGUCACCGGAGCUGUUGCCGGCCACGGGGUCAGACCCCUUCCCCAGACUCAUCGCCGCGCACGAGAGGGAGACUCCCUCGCCUGCCGUGAUUCGCCUCUGCUGCCGCUGCCGUCGACGGCUCCACCGCCACGACUGGCCUAAGCCAUCACCGGGUCCACCUCUCACCAACGGGCCCUUCGCUGGCCGCCGCAGGUCGAAUGUCAGGGCGCCAUCAGAACCACCGGUCGUCGCGAGUUAUGGCGUCAUCUGGGAUGACGCCCAUCGUCGGAGUUCUAGCCGGCGCCAGGCUCUUUCCCCUUUUCUUCUUUGCGUGUGAGAAGCUCUCUUCCUCCUCUGUCGAACACCGCUAAGGCACCACCCGCGUCACAAGUCAAGGCCAAGGUUGCCGCCGUACAUCGCCUCCACUGCCAACAGAAACACCAAACCCCUCGCCGGACCAACACCGUGAGCAACCAUCGUGCCUUCGGAAGCCAAUGCGAACUCCAGUCGCACAGCCACGACAAUCACCUCGCGA